rnacentral:lncRNA from 1 species
CUCAUAGAAAGGCUCCGCCAAAUGAAGAAAUCUGGUGAAUGCAGUGAAGAUCGUGUCAGGAUAAGCCACAUAAGAAAUGUCACCAUUGGGCAAGUCCAGAAACAAAUAUGGGAAAGGAUUAUUAUGUGAUCACUUCUUGUGAGACGUAGCUGCUUCAGAGGUAAGAGUUGUUGUAGUUCUGUACAUAGGUAGGAUUCAAUCCACUUAAUAAUUGCGCUGCUUUUAUGAGUUUGCCAAUUGAAGCUGUUUUACCUCAAUUUUAUGAGUAGUUUUCAUUUUACAUGUAUACAUGACUGUAGAGUACAGAUCUGGUAAGAUCAUAUAGAUAUAUUUCAAACCGGCAAUUUGAGUGAUCUAGAACAAAAUAACAAGUUUUUAGUUUUCUUGGUAGAUACACAAGUACCAUCGAUCCAACUAGUUGCUCUCUAUACUCCACACCAUCUUCAGCUACUUGCAUAAUUGAACGCUUGAUCCACACAAUGCCCAAGCCUAGGGCUCAAACUGAAGCCUAAAACUACCCAUACAAUGCCUCCACACACAAAAAUACAGUACAAUUAUGCUAAAAUCAAAUUACAACUAUCCAUUGUACGGGAAAAAUAUCUAUUCUAAUGAUGUGUACAGCCGAGAAGGUUCAUGGUUGCAGUUACAAUGGGCAAAAUUAAGACCAAUUCAUUUGACAAAUUAACAUCUUCUUGUUCUAACUGCUCAUAAAAUACUGAGAAGUGGAACUGAGAAAGUGAAUGAAAGAAAGAGACUAACCGCUUCUUCCUGUUCUGGGUAAUCAAGGAAGGGGAAAAGGAAGCCUAGCUACCGGCGACUUCACAGCUCUGCCGGCCUGCCGCGUCGAUCCCGCCGGCCCCCGGCCUGCCGCAUCCAUCUUGUCGGCCGCCGGACGCCGCUACCCCGCGCCCUAACCCUAGCCGUCCGCCGCGCCCUAACCCUCGCCGUCCGCCGCGCCCUAACCCCCGCCCNN